GGGUAAAGGAAGGUCAUGGUUUUGUAGCUAUAGCAGUCUGGUAACAUUAAGCCUAGAAAGACAGUGGAAGAGGCCAUAGGUAUUUGUAAUUUAUUCAUAAACAGCUAUGCCAUCACAGGAAACUUUUUCAAAUAAUAUGUGAUAGUUCUUUAAAUAUUUAAGAGUUUGUUGACCUAUUUUCUCAGUUAAUUAGGAUUUUUUUUGGCUGCAUUAACAAUGACUUGAAUGCAGUCUGCUUUAGUCGCUAUGCAGUUUGGUUACACUGGUGUCGUGGAACAUGAUUUCUUUCUAAGGCAUAUUGCACAAGAGAGGCAUGCCAUUGGAAGUGUCUAGACUUGUACUUAAAAACCUGUGGACUUCCUACUAGGCAAUGCUUAAGCUCAUCUUAGUGAACAUAAAACCUUUCACCUAGCAUCCUUUUCAGUCCUAAAACUAAUGUCUUUCCAGUUACAGCACUAUCCUUGGUUACUCUGCAAUGGAAGGGCCAUGAUGUGGCAGCCCUUCUCUUCAAAGUACAAUGGUUAAGACCAUCAAGCUCAUCUCUGCAAGCUGCAUUUCAGCUGUAGCUUAGAUACUUUCGACUAACACGUCUGUCUGAGCUGGCCACUUCGAGUUUGUCUACCUCUAUGGCAG